GACGAACGCUGGCGGCGUGCUUAACACAUGCAAGUCGAACGGAAAGGCCCUGCUUUUGUGGGGUGCUCGAGUGGCGAACGCGUGAGUAACACGUGAGUAAACUGCCCUUGACUUUGGGAUAACUUCAGGAAACUGGGGCUAAUACCGGAUAGGAGCUCCUGCUGCAUGGUGGGGGUUGGAAAGUUUCGGCGGUUGGGGAUGGACUCGCGGCUUAUCAGCUUGUUGGUGGGGUAGUGGCUUACCAAGGCUUUGACGGGUAGCCGGCCUGAGAGGGUGACCGGCCACAUUGGGACUGCGAUACGGCCCAGACUCCUACGGGAGGCAGCAGUGGGGAAUAUUGCACAAUGGGCGGAAGCCUGAUGCAGCAACGCCGCGUGCGGGAUGCCGGCCUUCGGGUUGUAAACCGCUUUCGCCUGUGACGAAGCGUGAGUGACGGUAAUGGGUAAAGAAGCACCGGCUAACUACGUG
rnacentral:rRNA from 1 species